UGAUUUGGAAUUAGUAGCUAUCAUCUUUGCUUUGAAGAUUUGGAAACUUUGUCUUUAUCGGAAGAAAAGUGCACGAUUGUUACGAAUCGAAGAGUACCCAAUAUCUGUUUAUUCAGAGGUAUCUUAAUCUCAGACAACAAAGGUGGAUUGAGUUACUUAGUGAUUAUGAUUGUACGACUAGGGUGGUCGAACUAAUGUUAUGGCCAAUGCUUAUAGUAGGAAGACCCAGUGAGAAUUAAUGCUUGGUACGAUUGCCAUGUUCAUCUUCUUGUAGAUUGAGACCUACUGGAGUAAAGUUGGGAAUGGAAGAUCGAAAAGAAAACGUACUUGCUAAUUUUCAAGUUAGGUCUAUUUGGUAGGUCGUACUCGAGACUCAAACGUUUGAUGAAGAAAUUCAAGAAAUUUAUUUAAAGCAAGGAAUAACGGAAAGAAAGAAGUCUUUUGGAUUGAUGUAGUCACUUCCCGUUCCACGGUGGAAAUGAGAAAAUAUUAAUAUAGAUUAUGUGUGCAAGCUCCCUCGUUCACGAGAUGGUUAUGAUGAAAUUUGAAGUGAUAAUUGAUUGGUUUACUAAAUCAGCACAAUGUUCUUCGAUGAAAGAGCAGUAACCUUUCCAGAAGUGCAACAGUUAUUUAUCUGUCUUAUGGAAAAGAGAUUUAGACUUACAGAUUUGUUGAACUUCUUGGAUAUGUUGGUCCUUUCAGUUUGUCCCCGAGAGCAACGCCAUAAGGUCGUGGAAAGUUGUGUCUUGUGUUUCAAAUUGUUAGAAUUGUGGACGGAUGGUAUUUAAAACCCUGAGUUAAUGGAGGAGACUACUCAGAAUAUUCAAGUAAUUAAGUCUAACCUGAAAGUGGGCCAGGAUCGGCUGAAGAGUUAGCAAACAAACAUGCCACUGACCGGAUGUGUAAUGUAAGAGAUUGGAUGUUUUUGAAAUUAUCACCUUAGAAAGGUGUGGUUCAGGUCGAAAUAGAAGACAAGUUACAUCUUAAGUACAUCAGGUCGUCUUUGACUAUUGAAGGAAUCGGUGAAAUACUUUCAAGUUGAGUACCUUCGGGAUUGGAUAAGAUGUAUAGUGUAGUUCAUGUUUUGAUGAUCCGUUACAAAGUAGCAGCUUCGUCGUGUAUGAUUCCGAUUCAGCCCUUAGAGAUUAAUCUGGAUUUGAAGUGUGAUGAGGAGCCAGUGACUAUCUUGUAUUGAAAAGACAUUGUGCUGAGAAAUAAGACUAUGAGUUUGGUGAAAGUUUAUGGAGGAAUCUUUCAGUGGAAUAAACUACUUGGAAGUCAGAGAAUCGAAUGAGAGAGAUGUGUUUCGGGUUGUUUUAUGGAUAUUGAUGGAUUGUAAAGAUUGUGUAAAUUUCGAGGACGAAAUUUCUUUAAGGUGGGUAGAUUGUGACAACCCGUCCCU
rnacentral:lncRNA from 1 species